GCUUAUGCGUUGCUGGGUAGGGGAGCGUUCUGUAAGCCUGCGAAGGUGGCCUGUGAGGGUUGCUGGAGGUAUCAGAAGUGCGAAUGCUGACAUAAGUAACGAUAAAGCGGGUGAAAAGCCCGCUCGCCGGAAGACCAAGGGUUCCUGUCCAACGUUAAUCGGGGCAGGGUGAGUCGACCCCUAAGGCGAGGCCGAAAGGCGUAGUCGAUGGGAAACGGGUUAAUAUUCCCGUACUUGGUGUUACUGCGAAGGGGGGACGGAGAAGGCUAUGUUGGCCGGGCGACGGUUGUCCCGGUUUAAGCGUGUAGGUGUGUGUUCCAGGUAAAUCCGGUUCACUUUAACACUGAGGCGUGACGACGAGGCACUACGGUGCUGAAGCAACAAAUGCCCUGCUUCCAGGAAAAGCCUCUAAGCAUCAGGUAACAUCAAAUCGUACCCCAAACCGACACAGGUGGUCAGGUAGAGAAUACCAAGGCGCUUGAGAGAACUCGGGUGAAGGAACUAGGCAAAAUGGUGCCGUAACUUCGGGAGAAGGCACGCUGACACGUAGGUGAAGUGAUUUACUCACGGAGCUGAAGUCAGUCGAAGAUACCAGCUGGCUGCAACUGUUUAUUAAAAACACAGCACUGUGCAAACACGAAAGUGGACGUAUACGGUGUGACGCCUGCCCGGUGCCGGAAGGUUAAUUGAUGGGGUCAGCGCAAGCGAAGCUCCUGAUCGAAGCCCCGGUAAACGGCGGCCGUAACUAUAACGGUCCUAAGGUAGCGAAAUUCCUUGUCGGGUAAGUUCCGACCUGCACGAAUGGCGUAAUGAUGGCCAGGCUGUCUCCACCCGAGACUCAGUGAAAUUGAACUCGCUGUGAAGAUGCAGUGUACCCGCGGCAAGACGGAAAGACCCCGUGAACCUUUACUAUAGCUUGACACUGAACACUGGUCCUUGAUGUGUAGGAUAGGUGGGAGGCUUUGAAGUGUGGACGCCAGUCUGCAUGGAGCCAUCCUUGAAAUACCACCCUUUAAUGGCUGGUGUUCUAACGUAGACCCGUAAUCCGGGUUGCGGACAGUGUCUGGUGGGUAGUUUGACUGGGGCGGUCUCCUCCUAAAGAGUAACGGAGGAGCACGAAGGUUGGCUAAUCCUGGUCGGACAUCAGGAGGUUAGUGCAAUGGCAUAAGCCAGCUUGACUGCGAGCGUGACGGCGCGAGCAGGUGCGAAAGCAGGUCAUAGUGAUCCGGUGGUUCUGAAUGGAAGGGCCAUCGCUCAACGGAUAAAAGGUACUCCGGGGAUAACAGGCUGAUACCGCCCAAGAGUUCAUAUCGACGGCGGUGUUUGGCACCUCGAUGUCGGCUCAUCACAUCCUGGGGCUGAAGUAGGUCCCAAGGGUAUGGCUGUUCGCCAUUUAAAGUGGUACGCGAGCUGGGUUUAGAACGUCGUGAGACAGUUCGGUCCCUAUCUGCCGUGGGCGCUGGAGAACUGAGGGGGGCUGCUCCUAGUACGAGAGGACCGGAGUGGACGCAUCACUGGUGUUCGGGUUGUCAUGCCAAUGGCACUGCCCGGUAGCUAAAUGCGGAAGAGAUAAGUGCUGAAAGCAUCUAAGCACGAAACUUGCCCCGAGAUGAGUUCUCCCUGAGACUUAGAGUCUCCUGAAGGAACGUUGAAGACGACGACGUUGAUAGGCCGGGUGUGUAAGCGCAGCGAUGCGUUGAGCUAACCGGUACUAAUGAACCGUGAGGCUUAACC
rnacentral:rRNA from 1 species